AAUAGAAGUUCUAGAAGCUUCACAUACUUCCAUUUUCCUUUCUGUAGGGAGAAGCAGAUGGAUGACCAACAUUGCUCCAUUAAGGAGAAGAACAUUCAAUUGUGCUGUGUAACUUCUGGAGUAACUGAGAACACAAAGGAAGAGCACCCUUGGACAUCCCUUAUUGUGCCCUGCCCCGGGAGGACACACCCCGGAAAUUCGGUGUCAGUGUCAUCAGGAUGGCCUUGCCUCACUGUAGCUAAGGAGAGGCUGUGCUAGCCCUCACAGCAAAGGCAGCUACAGAAGACAAAUGCUACCAGGAUUUCCCGGCAAGCAAAGAAAUGAAGCCUGAGGAUUUUGUGCUUAGAGGUUUGGAAAUCUGGCAAAUGUGACAUUAAAAUGCAAGUAUUUCAUCUUGAA